GGAGGUUGCAGUGAGCUGAGGUCACACCACUGCACUCCAGCCUGGGCAACAAGAGCAAAACUCCAUCUCAACAGCAACAACAACAUCAAUAACAGCAAAGCCUGAUGAAAUCCUAACUCAGCAGUGGCGCAAUUACUUCAUAGAUUGGAUUAUUUUGAAAAGAAGCAGCAAACCCCAUUUGGUGGAUGUAUUUUGAGUCUUUUUUUUUUUUCUGAGACAGGAGCUUGCAAUACCACCCAGGCUAGAAUACAGUGACUCCAUCACAGCUCACUGUAGCCUCGACCUCCUGGGCUCAGGCAAUCCUCUUACCUCAGCCUCUUGAGCAGCUGGGACUACAGGCACAUGCCACCAUGCCCAGAUAAUUUUCUUAAAAUAUAUUUUGUAGAGACAGGGUUUUGCCGUGUUGUCAGGCUAGUCGCAAGCUCCCGAGCUCAAGUGACCCCUCCUUGGCCUACCCAAAGUGCUGGGAUUACAGGCAUCAGCCACUGCGCCUGCGCGGCCUGCGUUUUGAAUCUUUAGGUGAGCAGGCUCCCUGCUAGGUGCUAAGGACGCAGAAAUGAAUACCACCCCUCCCUUCCUCUCAGAGGGCUCCCAAUCUGCUCCUCUUUUCUCUGUUAAAUAUUUUGCCUUUGAGUCUUGCAUAAUGAUGUGGCCACAUUGAGACCUAGUUGAACAGUUUCACAAUAACUCCCUUAAGUCAGAGGGCCUUGGUGAAAUAACAUUGACUUUUACUCUGAAAUCCAUGGAAAUACAAAAUUUACUGUUUUGUUCUCCUUGAUAAAAUAUAGCAUAAUAACUAGUUGCUGGGUUACUACCUAAAACACAGGCCCCAAACUACAGCCAGGAAGGGCAGUUAGCAAUUAAGUAAAGGAAAUGACUAUGACUAGUGGGUCUGAAACCCAACACACUGCCCAUAUCCUUCUUAGCAUAGGGAGGCAUUGAUGUUACUUAGGCAACUUUUAUCACUAAGGAAGUAGUUUUGGUGACUCAUGCUCAUAACAGAAUGACUUAUUUCAAGACCUGAGUGUUCAGUAACCUUACCAUUAUGCUUCUGUUUUCUUUUUUUUUGGACUCAGACAGCAAAGCUCCCUUUGGAUGACAUAGAUUUAUUACUUAGUAGUAUAUUAUGUAUUGGCUGUCCCACAUUUUGAAAUUUAAUGGACUCGUGGUGAUCAGAAUAAAAGGUCAGUAUUUCCUACAAUAUGUUGAUACGUUAAAGGCAGAACUAACACCUCAUUUUCUAAGCAGAACUAUUAUCUUAUUAAAUGUCUAAGUUGACAUUUCUUAAGCCUUCG
rnacentral:lncRNA from 1 species